rnacentral:rRNA from 1 species
GAUGAACGCUGGCGGCGUGCCUAAUACAUGCAAGUCGAGCGGUAAGGCCCUUCGGGGUACACGAGCGGCGGACGGGUGAGUAACGCGUAAGAAUCUACCCCAAACUGAGGGAUAAGCACCAGAAAUGGUGUCUAAUACCGCAUAUGCUCUACGGAGUAAAGCUACGGCGGUUUGGGAAGAGCUUGCGUAGGAUUAGCUAGUUGGUAAGGUAAUGGCUUACCAAGGCGACGAUCCUUAGCUGGUCUGAGAGGAUGAUCAGCCACACUGGGACUGAGACACGGCCCAGACUCCUACGGGAGGCAGCAGUAGGGAAUUUUCCACAAUGGGGGCAACCCUGAUGGAGCAACGCCGCGUGCAGGAUGAAGGCCUUCGGGUUGUAAACUGCUUUUGUCUGUGACGAUUAUGACGGUAGCAGACGAAUAAGGAUCGGCUAACUACGUGCCAGCAGCCGCGGUAAGAC